UACGUAGGGUGCAAGCGUUGUCCGGAAUUAUUGGGCGUAAAGGGCUCGUAGGCGGUCCGUCACGUCGGGCGUGAAAACUUGGGGCUUAACCCCAAGCCUGCUUCCGAUACGGGCGGACUAGAGGUAGGCAGGGGAGAACGGAAUUCCUGGUGUAGCGGUGAAAUGCGCAGAUAUCGGGAAGAACGCCAGUGGCGAAAGCGCUCUACUGGGCCAUAACUGACACUGAGGGACGAAAGCUAGGGGAGCGAAAGGG
rnacentral:rRNA from 1 species